GACGAACGCUGGCGGCGUGCUUAACACAUGCAAGUCGAACGAAGUGGCGAACGGGUGAGUAACGCGUAAUCAACCUGCCCUUCAGAGGGGGACAACAGUUGGAAACGACUGCUAAUACCGCAUACUGAAGGAGGGGAUUGCGUCUGAUUAGCUAGUUGGUGGGGUAACGGCCCACCAAGGCGAUGGUCAGUAGCCGGGCUGGGAGGAUGGACGGCCACAAUGGGACUGGGGAACGGCCCAGACUCCUACUGGAUGCAGCAGUGGGGAAACAUCCGCAAUGGACGGAAGUCUGACGGAGCAACGCCGCGGGGUGGAUGACGGGCUUCGGGUUGUAAAGCUCUGUUAAUCGGGACGCGGUACCGGAAUAGAAAGCCACGGCUAACUACGUGCCAGCAGCCGCGGUAAUAC
rnacentral:rRNA from 1 species